rnacentral:lncRNA from 1 species
CUAUCAUGUCAUAUGAGAUGUGGCAUGUAUAGGAUGUUUGACCCAUGUCAAGUAUUGACAUGUGGAUCAAGUUAGAGGUUAGAUCUAUGAGACUCAUUUAAAGGUAUCCUAAAAAAGUUUAGGAAUACUAUUUUUCUUUUUAAGGAUUAUAAUGUGAUUGUGGCCCGAUAUGCGAUAUUCUUGAAGAAAUAGUUUAUCCAAGAUGAGAUAGUGGGAG